CAGACGGGUGAGUAACACGUGGGAACGUACCCUUMGGUUCGGAACAACUCUGGGAAACUGGAGCUAAUACCGGAUACGCCCUUUUGGGGAAAGGUUUACUGCCGAAGGAUCGGCCCGCGUCKGAUUAGCUAGUUGGUGGGGUAACGGCCUACCAAGGCGACGAUCAGUAGCUGGUCUGAGAGGAUGAUCAGCCACAUYGGGACUGAGACACGGCCCAAACUCCUACGGGAGGCAGCAGUGGGGAAUAUUGGACAAUGGGCGCAAGCCUGAUCCAGCCAUGCCGCGUGAGUGAUGAAGGCCUUAGGGUUGUAAAGCUCUUUUGUCCGGGACGAUAAUGACGGUA
rnacentral:rRNA from 1 species